UGUGGGGCUUGAACUCAUGACCCUGAGAUAAAGAUCUGAGCUGAGAUUAAGAGUUGGAUGUUCAACUGACUGAGCCACAUAGGCACCCCUGUUCAUAUCUUCUUUUUUGCUCCUUCCUCCAUCCUUUUCUUCCAUGGCUGCCAUCAUGCAUAUGCUAGUACACUCGGUAGUGUGCCGCAGGUCUGAGGCUUGGUUGCUUUUUCUUUUUUUCUUUUCUUUGUGUUUCCCAGACUGGGUAAUCACAAUUGAUCUAUUUUCAAGUUCACUGAUUCUUACUUCUGCCAGCUUAAGUCUUCUGUUUAGCCCUUCUCGUGAAUUUUUUAUUUCAGUUGUUGCACUUUUUAACUCCAGAAUUUCUUCUUAGUUCUUUUUUUUUUUUUUUUUUUUUUUAAUAGCUUCUACCCCUUUAUUUAUAUUAUCUCUUCGGUCAGACAUUGUUUUCAUAUUUUUAAUUCUUUGGGUAUGAUUUCCUAUAGUUAUUAGAAAAUAUUUAUAGUAGCUGAUUUAAGGUCUUUGACUAGUAAGUUCAACACAUGGUUUUUCUCAGGGAUAGUUUUUGUUGACUGCUUUUUUUCCUUGUGUGGGCUCCCCUUUCCUGGUUGUAUGCAUGUGUCUUUUUAUUUUUUAAAUUGUACAAAUCACAUAAUACACUGUGGCAAUAUAGCAAUCAGCGUCCCUCCCUCCCAAGGGUUUGUUGUAGUUUUUUGUUGUUGCAGUUUGUUUGUUUAGUGACUUUUCCUGACUAAUUCUACAGUCUGUAUUCUUUGUGUGUGUGGCCACUGGAGUCUCUGCUAUAUUAACUUAGUGGUCGGUCAAUGAUCAGGGAGGGAUUUUUAAAAAAUACUUCGAACCAGGAAGUCUCCCACCUGUAUGGAGGGGUUUUGUCUUGGAGCCCACCUUCAAUGCAUUGGCCAGCAGUUCACAAGACUUCCUAGUCUUCACUUCCAACUUGCACAGAACUUCAAGGUUGGCCAGAGGUGAGAGCUGAAAUCUUUUUCAGAUUUUUUCCGAGUAUGCCCACAGACAUAUAUAUGGGGCCUCCUACAUCGCCAGAAAUACAUUGGGACUUUGCAAAGUCUUCUAUGGUCACAGCACACCCACAUUUUCCUUUUAAGUUUUCUUUUUGGCCAGCCUCUUUUUUUGCCCCAACUGGUAUUGCUGCCUUACAUCACUGCAACAUUAAACCAUUGCCAUUGGCUGUUUUUUAAAAGAAAAAAAUUUUUUAAUGUUUAUUUAUUUUUGACAGAGAGAGACAGAGUGUGAGCGGGGGAGGGGCAGAGAGAGAGGGAGACACAGAAUCCAAAGCAGGCUCCAGGUUUCAAGCUGUCAGCACAGAGCCCGAUGCAGGGCUCGAACUCACAGACCGUGAGAUCAUGACCUGAGCUGAAGUCGGAUGCUCAACCGACUGAGCCACCCAGGCGCCCCACCAUUGACUGUUUUUGACAAUUGACAACAUGGUUUUGAGGCUGGGUGUUUUAAAGGCUACUGCAGAGCUGGGCAGAAGGGGUUGAGAAUAGCGUAAGUUAAAACUCCCCAAACCUCACCUAGUUUCUUACCUAGAUUCAGCUGUUUUUUCUUCAAAUAAAUGCUCCUCAGAUGGGUAUAAGCCUUUGGCGCCCCUCCCGAGUUUUGAGAAAGUUCGUUUUGACCCUUUGCCCAGUGCUCUUUUGCUUUUCUGGAGGAGCAGAUUUUGGGAGGCAUGCUUACUCCACCAUUCUGAAAGAGCUUCUCCUUUUUCUAACAUUCGGAUGCAAACUCAGGUGGAAAGGCAUGGAAAUGCAUGUAAAUAUAUCACCUUGAAAUGUCUAAAUUGGUUUUUGAAAUGUUGGAUUGCCACAUUAGUAUUCCUCCCGGUCAUAACACAUCACAACACAUCCCACACAAGCAAGUGCUUUUAUAAUCAUGUCUCAAGGCUUAUGAACCUAACCUCAAAACCUGGAGUUUUAGCAUAAAAAAGCACACGUCUCAUGAGUGAUCCCAGUGACUUUGAUUUUUGGAGAGACUAGAAACCGGUGGAUGGUGACACAUCCAUAUAUCUUAUGUUUAAAGGUUACCAUUUGGCAGAUACAAAUAAAUUUCUGCCUUGACAGUUUCCUUAAACAUAUCCAGGCAUUGUUCUUAUAGGGUACUAUUUUUAUUGGUAAAGCUGAAGUAUCAAAUUUUGUGGUUCAGACCAGAAUAAUUUAUAACCAGUGGUUAGCUAAGUACCAUGAUUCUUUGAGCCUCUGUCCAUCUUCCUUGACUUAGGUGCACGGACCAGAAAGGAUUUAAUGAGUGGCAAAGUUGGAAGUAGAACUUUGCUUCAUCCUAUAGAAAUGCAAGAGAUGAGACCCAGGGCCCUCUAUCUCUGCCAUCGUUUAAAAAUUUCCCAAGAGAUUCUUUUUCUUACUUCCUGUACUCUCCAGAAGGUUCUCCAUAGGAAAGAGCUGUUUAACUCAUGGAGCAAAACUCUACCUAGUAUUUACAAAUCAACCUUUGACUGAAAGCAUAAUGAAAAUGUCAUUUUUCAGUUGGGAGGCCAAAUAAAAGUUCUGUUUUAGACAUUUUUCCUUAUUUUUUUUCAAAUGUGCAACUGGAGUUAUGAUGGUAGUUUCACAUUUCUGUAUUCCCUUUCUUUUUUCAUAUUGAGCUGUUUAGGUCCCCAAACCCAGAGCACCAAUUUUAUUUUGAUUCGAUUCUUCUUUUCUGUGAAAACUACAAAUUAACUCCCUUUAUAUUAUUCUAAAAACAGUCUUCCUUUCUUUUUUCCAUCCCUGGUUUCUCAAAUAAUUGCUUCUUUGUGAAGAACCAAACAAUAGCAAACCACGGGUAAUCUGCUGCUGGUUUAAGUCCUAUAUUUAACCAGCAAGCUGUUUAAUCAGAAACAUAAUCCGACCUAUUGGGUUACCAAAUUUUGUCUAAUAUAUCUGAGAAAGAUAUAUCUCAAUCUCUGACUGAAACAUACUCAUCUAGCUUUCCAUAGGUAACAGAGAUGUUAGUACAACAAAGGACACACUGAAAUUGUAUCAUAUCAUUUGGUGAAAUUUGAAAGUGGAAUAUUAAAAGCUUAACUAAUAUUUUACUUUUAUAACCCCACAGUGAGUUUUGUGUGUGUGUGUGUGUGUGUGUGUGUGUGUGUGUGUGUGUGUGUGGUUGCUUUUUAAAACUUUUCCUUUUCUUUGUGACAUGAUUUCCAAAUGUACAUUUUAGGAUAUGAUUAUAAUUAUACAAUAUUGUGUUGCAGAUUGGGAUACUUUGUCAGUUGUUUCUAGAGACAAUGUCUUUUAAACCAAUUUCAAAAUAGAAAUAAAACUGUUGGAGAAUUAAGAUUGAGAGAUAGUCUAGUUCAGUGUAGUUGGUCCUCAGUAAGCUUCACCUCUUAACCUCUCUGUGUGCCCCACUCAUUCUUUUGAUAAAUCACUUCAGGUUUUGAUCAAAUGGUUGGGUCAUCUUUACAGCAUUUUUUUUUAAUGAGAUGGUUUCUUUCCACUGGAUUGGGAAUCAAGAUACCUGGGUCCUAAUUCUGUCUUGUUAUUGACCAGAACGACCUGAGGCCAGAUUACUCAUUCUUUCCGAGCCUCAGAUUUCCUCUUCUAUAGAACAGAACAGAGUAUGUGUGGGGAGAAGCUGGGCUCAAUGAGGUUCAAGUAUGACUCAAAAGAGAAAUAUUUAUGGUUAUGCAAUAUAAGCCUUAAUUGUGCAGUGCUUUUGACUUUUCCUGAUUUUCUUGAUAGCCUACCUUUUUCUAUGUACACGUAACCUCCACUAUCUGAGAGCAUUCCUAUGAAACCUUUUUUUGUAAAUUGGCAUAGACAGGACAUUGUAUACAACAGCAGCAGAAUAUAGAUUCUUCUCAAUCUCACACAGAUCAUUCUCUGUGAGCUGAAGUUGCUGGGGAUAUAAAGAUGGAUAGGACAUAACACCAGCUUUUAAGAGGUUUUGAGGCUGGUGGAUGAGAUACUUGCUUGACUAUUCAAAGCAGAGGUAGGAGGAGUGGGGCAGGAACUAUGUUAGUCAGGGGCACUGGAACAAGGUUCACUGCCAGUGUACCUCUGUGGGAGGGUUUCCUGGAGAAGCUAGUAGAUUCCAGUUAGUCAUCAUCCUCUGUAACUGUGUAGAACAACUUUCUUUUCUUUCUUGGGAAAUUUUCUGGAGGAGGCUCUUGAGGCUUAUUGGAAUUAUUUAGGAAAGUAAUUGUUUAAUAGUUUCCAGGUAGAAGCAGUUAACAGUUGAGGGAGAAUUAAGACACUCUGAUGAACUUAGAUUUGUGUAGGAUUGAAAUAAAUGGAAGGUGGGAGCCUGAAGUGAACAGAUGGACCAUUAAGGGAGCUGGUCAAGCUUGCACUUAGGAAUAAUAAUUAUAAAGAUAAUGUAUAACGGUAUAAUUAUAAUGAUCAUAAUGGCUAAUGCUGAGGAAUGCUGGCACCAUUAUAAACUCUUGACAUGUACUAACUCAUAACAUUCCUAUUAACAUUUCCACAGGAUAGAUACUAUUAAUAUUUCCAUUUUACAGAUGACAAAACUGAGGCAUCAAAAGUCUAGGUCAUGGGUAGAAUGGCUUCUGCUUAAGUUAUGUUGCAUGGGACCCUAGAAUGGAAACUCGCUUUGCUCAUUGUGAGAAUUUUGAUAAAAGUCUUGCCCAAAUGUCAUAGUUAAUAUGUGGCAGAAUAGGCAGGAGGCAGUAGGUCAAGGGGAACAAAGUUUCAAUUGCGUAAGACAUGUGAGUUCUGGAAAUCUAAUGUAUGGUAAUGUGAAUGUAGUUAACGAUGCUGUAUUGUAUACUUCAGAUUUGCUAAAGGAUGUAUCUUAAGUGUCCUCACCACACACAUGCACACACACACAAGUAACUGUAUGAAGUGAUGCAUAUGUUAAUUAGCUUGAUUGUGGCAUUUUCUGAUGCAUGUAUGUCAAAACAUACGACAUGUACCUUAAAUAUAUACAUUUUUUGAAAUUUGUCAAUUAUACGUCAAUAAAGAUUGGGGCAAAACGGCAGACAUUGGAUUUAAACCCUGUAAUCCUCAGAGACCAGUCCAGCCAUCUGAUGGGUGCGUGCAUAGGCGGGAGCCAUGCCCAACUUCGCCCCCCGUGAAAGACCUGCCGGCUGCAGACUUGACUACACACCCCACAACAGCCACAAGACCUGGUUCCAGCUCUGCUUGCCCAUGAUUCUGGAGGUAACCUCAUCAGCCCAGGGACCCAGCAGGAAAAGAUCUGCCAAAACUAGUCUGUGAAGACCGGAAGAGGCGUCUGCCUUUCAAAUGCACAGGCAUCAAUGCGGGACUACAUGGGUCACUAAGAAUUAGGUAAAUGUGGGGCACCUGGGCGGGUCAGUCAGUUAAGCAUCUGGCUCCUGAUUUCAGCUCAGGUCAUAAUCUCAUGGUUUGUGGGUUUGAGCCCCACGUCUGGCUCUGCACUGACAGUGUGGACCCUGCUUGGGAUUCUCUCUCUCUCCCUCUCUCUCUGCCCCUCCCCUGCCUGCUCUCUCUCUCAGAAAAGAAAAAGAAAAAGAAAAAGAAAAGAAAAGAAAGAAUUAGUCACACAUGAUACCACCCAAGGAGACUAAUAAAGCUCCAGUAAGCAACCUUAAAGAAAUAGCCACAAAUGGCUACCAAAGAAUUCAUAAUAAAGAAGCUCAGUUAGCAACAAGGGAAUACAGACAACUACAUGAAAUCAGUAGAUCAAUACAUGGGCAAAAUGAAAAGCUUAACAAAGAAAUGGAAAUCAUAAAAGAGAACCAAACAAAUUCUGGAGCUGAAGAAUGCAAUGACUUCAAUAGAGAGUUUCAACAGCAGACUUAAUCAUGCAGAAGAAAGAAUCAGCAAACUGGAAGGCAAGUUAUUUGAAAUUAUCCAAUUAGAGGAACAAAAAGAAUAGGAAAGAGAAGAAAGUCUACAUGACUUGUGGGACAGCAGCAAAAGAACUAAUCUAUGCAUUAUGGGAAUCCCAGAAGGAGCAGAGAAUGAGAAAGGGACAGAAAGCUUAUUUAAAGAAAUAAUGUCAAAGAAAUAACAAGUGUUGACAAGGAUGUAGAGGUCAAAGGAACUCUGAUGCACUGUUGGUGGAAAUAUAAAUUGGUGCAGCCACUGUGGAAAACAGAAUGGAGGUUCCUCGAAAAAUUAAAAAUAGCAAUACCACAUGAUGUAGUAAUUCCACUACUAGCUAUUUACCCAGAGAAAACAAAAACACUAAUUGGAAAAGAUAUAUGCACCCCUAUGUUUAUUACAUAAUUAUUUAGAAUAGCCAAGAUAUGGAAGGAAUCCAAGUGUCCACUGAUAGAUGAAUGGAUAAAGAAGAUGUGGUAUAUAUAUGACGGAAUAUUAUUCAGCCUUAAAAAAAAAAAAAGAAUGAGAUCAUGUAAUUUG